rnacentral:lncRNA from 1 species
AUUUGCCUUGAAAACGUGAAAAAGAACACUAGUCUGCUGUUUUUCGCCCCGGGCGAAAAAACCUGUGCCCCGGGCGAAAUUUGAAGCAGGAAAAAGGGAGCUCUCUGUUUUCUUUUCGCCCCAGGCGAAAACACUGGUGCCUCAGGCGAAAAUUUUCGCCCCAAGCGAAAAAACUGGUGCCUCGGGCGAAAAUCGCUGC